GGCAGUGCCGACACCUCCGUCCUCCUCUCUUCCCACCUCUCAGAGCGGCAUGAGGCUGCCUCGCGUUCGGACCAGCCGCUCCAUCCGGAUUUGCGCUCGGACGGAUUCGGGACCCUCCCGAGCUUUUUGGUGAGAUCCGGGACGCUAUGCUGUAACCCGACCCCUCGCCGCGCCCUCAGAUCCUCCGGUGCCUACUCGCUCGCAGCGAUGAACUACAUCUUCGGGAACAGCACGCUGUACCCGCGCGGCGGCCGGGCCAACGCCGGGCCGGCUCACGGCGCCCCGGGCCAGAAGCAGAGGCAGUGGGCCAAGCGCAGCUCCAGCGAGGACCUGCCCUCGUCCAGCUCGCGCUGGCAGCAGCUCCUCACCUUCUUCACCCGCCGGAACGCCUUCAGCGACUGCAUCACCGCCGGCGCCAGCCAGCAGGCGGACGCCGUUCCUCCCCCCGCUCACAUAAUCCCUGUGAUCCCUAUCGUACCGGUCCCGGCCGAGACCACCUUCAUCCCGGCACCCACGUCACAGGCGAGUCCGGCGCCGGUGUUGGUGAGCACAGACAGCAUCGACACCUCUCCAUACAUCAGCCCAUACGUGAACGGAGCCGAAGCCGAUUAUGAUUAUGAGGAAAUUACACUGGAACGGGGAAAUUCUGGUUUGGGUUUCAGUAUUGCGGGGGGCACCGAUAACCCUCACAUUGGUGAGGACCCCAGCAUCUUCAUCACCAAGGUCAUACCGGGUGGAGCAGCAGCUCAGGACGGCAGACUCAGGGUAAACGACUGUAUUUUACGAGUGAACGAGGCCGACGUGAGAGACGUCACUCACAGCAGAGCCGUGGAGGCGCUGAAGGAGGCCGGCUGCAUGGUCAGGCUGUACGUGAGGAGGAGGAAACCCGGCGCUGAGAAAAUCGUCGAUUUAAAGCUCGUCAAAGGUCCAAAAGGACUCGGGUUCAGUAUAGCAGGCGGAGUUGGAAACCAGCACGUUCCUGGCGACAACAGCAUCUACGUCACCAAAAUCAUCGACGGAGGAGCCGCACAGAAAGACGGACGACUGCACGUCGGGGAUAAACUCAUCGCCGUGAACGCCGUUUGCCUCGAGGAGGUGACGCACGAGGACGCCGUGGCCGCCCUGAAAAACACGACGGAUGUGGUUUACCUAAAAGUGGCCCAACCAAUCAGCGUCUUUCUGAGCGACAGCUUCUCCCCUCCUGACCUCACCGACCCAUAUUCUCAGCACAUGGAGAAUCACAUCAGCACCCCGACAUAUCUCAGCCAGUCCGUAACCCCCGGCACGCCAUCACGGUUCUCCCCCAUCUCCAGGAGCAUGCUGGGUGACGAUGACAUCACAAGGGAGCCCCGGAAGGUGGUGCUGCACCGCGGAUCCACCGGGCUGGGUUUUAACAUCGUGGGUGGAGAAGACGGGGAGGGCAUCUUCAUCUCCUUCAUUCUGGCCGGAGGACCUGCUGACCUGUGUGGAGACCUGAAGAGAGGAGACCGCAUCAUGUCUGUAAACGGUGUCGAUCUGCACAGCGCAACACACGAGCAGGCCGCUGCAGCGCUGAAACACGCCGGUCUGACUGUCAGCAUAGUGGUUCAGUACAGUCCCGAGGAUUACAGUCGGUUCGAAGCUAAAAUCCAUGACCUCCGGGAGCAGAUGAUGAGCUGCAGUAUCAGUUCAGGCUCCGGCUCACUGCACGCCAGCCAGAAGAGGGCGCUCUAUAUCAGAGCUCUGUUCGACUACGACAGGAUGAAGGAUUCGGGUCUCCCAGGUCCGGGACUCAGCUUCCAGUUUGGCGACGUCCUGCACGUGCUGAACGUCUCGGACGACGAGUGGUGGCAGGCCCGGAACCUCAGCGCGGACGGGGAGGUGGAGGAGGUCGGAGUCAUCCCCAGUAAGAGGAGGGCGGAGAGAAGAGAAAGGACCCGACUGAAGACGGUCAAACCGAACUACAGAACUCUGGACAAAGCGGACUUACUGACUGACGACAGAAGCUUGAGUGGGCAGGACGAACAUCUCCUGUCGUACGAGACGGUCAUUCAGCAGGAAGUGAAUUAUUCUCGACCCGUGAUUGUCCUGGGCCCCAUGAAGGAUCGGAUCAACGACGACCUGAUAUCAGAAUUUCCCGAUAAGUUCGGAUCCUGCGUCCCACACACGACCAGGCCGAGGCGCGAGUACGAGCAGGACGGCAGAGAUUACCACUUCGUCGUCUCCCGGGAGCAAAUGGAGCACAACAUCCAGGAGCACAAGUUCAUCGAGGCCGGCCAGUACAACAACCACCUGUACGGCACCAGCGUACAGUCGGUGCGGGAGGUCGCGGAAAAGGGGAAGCACUGCAUCCUGGACGUCUCCGGGAACGCCAUCCGACGACUCCAGCUGGCGCAGCUCCACCCCAUCGCCGUGUUCGUCAGACCCAAAUCACUGGAAAAUAUUUUAGAGCUGAACACGAGGCUGACGGAGGAUCAGACCAAGAAGAUGUUCGACAGGGCGGUGAGACUGGAGCAGGACUUCACGCAGCACUUCACCUCCAUCGUACAAGGAGACACGCUGGAGGAGAUCUACAACCAGGUCAAACGGAUCAUGGAGGAGCAGUCCGGACCUUACAUCUGGGUACCGUCCAGGGAGACGUUGUGAGGUCGCGGCCCAGAAACCUUCUGGGGUUUUGUUUUGUUUUAUUUUUGGGUUUUAUUUUCUGUCAUCACCGAGACCCCGGAUAAAGGAAUCAGGAGACGUGUUGCAGGACGAUGGGCGUGUGUUCUGUCACCACCAUCAAGUCUGAUCAAGUCUCCGGAGUUCGGGAGCGGCACCUCGCCGGGGGUUCCCACAGCAGAGCUUCCCUCACGUUUAGAGGAGGUGACUGGAGGUGUACGUUUGGGGUUAUAACGGGUAUAAAUGCGUCCACGUUCCACGCGUGUCCGUUCACUCGGAGACUGCAGGAAUCGGAUGCGAAACUUUGCACGUUUUUGCAUUACAUGCAUGUUUGGGCGGGGGGGGGGGAUCGGGGGGGGAUUCUGUUCUAAUUAACCUACGUUGUGUUUGAGUUAUUAUUAGCUUGAGCUGAUACUCUGUCAUUAAUUUAAUCCUAACUUAUGCAAAUAUUCACCUUUACACGUGCACAAAAUCAUAACCUGGCACCAAUUUUGAGGAUCCGUGGACGUUCUCAUCCGAUCAUGGGGCUCAUGAGUAAGAAGUGAGCGUUAAAGCGACACGGCUGAGCAGUGACCCACUAGGGGGCCUCAGUGAGCCCAGCGGUGUGUCCCAUUGCAUUUUACAAGUGAUAGGAUGAGAAAAUCAACAGCCUAUUGGUACAAACAUGAGAUCUUGUGAUGUCAUAAAUCUACUUUAAGCCUCCUAUAGUCUAUGUUUGGUCUCUGAGAAUGGACAGACAUUUGUGCCCACCUCAAAAGUGCAGGGGUCAACGUACAGGGACUAUAAAUGAUUCCGAUUCAGUUGUUGAUGCAGACCCAGGUGAGGAAGCUCCUACCAUCCGUUCACUAGAAAUAAACCAAUCACAUCAACCUCAAUCAGAAAAUACCAAAUACAAUAACACCUUUAUUAUGGACGCAGUUUGUCCCAGGACGCUGUUUUCCCUGUAAUAAAUAAUGUAAACUGGAUGAAUUAGUUCUAAACCUCUCAUAUUUUUGUUUGUUUAAACCUUUAUAAAAAAAACUUACAGCAUAAAACCAUCCAUAAAACUAUAAACCAAUAAAAGUCUUCGCAGCAUGAACAGUCUCUCCUCUCACCACAUCAGCCCCUUUACUGCCUCGUUAUUUUACAAUCUGGACGAUACGAGACACGAGUUCCACUUUAUAACUUCACGAUGAGUUCUUAUGUCGGUUCAGUUCCGGUCCUCACUGCUUUCGACGUUUUAUAAUGAGGAUAGUGUAGAGCAGGGGUGCACAUACUUUCGUAGCUUGAGAUCUACUAUUUCAGACGACAGGUCGGCCUCAUCAUGUUCAAAAAAUAUUUGCCGCUGUUUUUAAAUGCGCUUCAGUUCCUGUAUCGAUGUUCAGCUGAUAAAUCACACUGACCUGAUUCUGAUGAUUUACACUGAAGGGUGUCGGUCAGGUUUAUGUAUCUGGACAGGAGCUGCUGAUGCUGAAUCUCAAGCAGCUUCCAAGUGAUCAUCAGUAAGGGUGGAGCGAUAUUUAGGCGGAUUCACACGAGCAGGUCGAUCCAAAAAUGGUGUCAAAUAUGUGGCACAUUUUCUUACCUUUAGAUAUUAUUACUCAGCCAGUUCCAAAAUCGUCCAGCAGAGGCGCUUGAGUUCAUACGAAUGUCAGAUUGAGUGUUAAAAUUUCUCCGUCAGCUUCUCCCACGUAUAAACGAAACAGCGUCUCUGCCUCUGUGUUCCUGCCCCAAUCGAAGCGUUUUUGGUUUAUUUGUGCUUGGUUACAGAAGGAAAAAUGCAAAAAUGGCGCAAACUGGCUACCGAUGAAUGAAAACUUGCUAGAUUCGCGGUGCUUUAGGCGGGAUGAGGUGUAGCUGUGGUGACAAACCACACAUUAAAGAAUCAGCGGCCACAUUUCAUGUCGAUCUCGUUGACCUGUUUGAAUGAGGAGAGAUCUACCAGCGUGCACUGUGCCAUCGACUGGUGGAUCGUGAUGGGCGUGUUGGGCACCCCUGAUGUGGGACAUUCUACAUUUACCAAAUGCACUGCAUGCUUAAUAAAACAUUAUUUAUGUGGAUACAUUAUUUUGGAUAUAGCCAUAUAAAAGUCUAACAAAUGUAUUGAAGGAAAGUAAUUUUUGUAUUAACAAUUCUUGCGUAUUAGUAAGAGGUUUAAUUUUAAAUUAAUUGUACUAAUUUUGGUACAAUUAAUGAAAAAAAUCAUUAACUAACUUUUUAUUAAUAAAUGUGAAGUGGAAAUAUUGCACAUUACUGCCACUUCUGAUUCUCAGUAGGUUGGUCGAAUCUGUCCAUGU